rnacentral:rRNA from 1 species
UACGGAGGAUCCAAGCGUUAUCCGGAUUCAUUGGGCGUAAAGGGUGCGUAGGCGGCGCGGUAAGUCGGGUGUGAAAUUUCGAGGCUUAACUUCGAAACUGCAUUCGAUACUGCCGUGCUUGAGGACUGGAGAGGAGACUGGAAUUUACGGUGUAGCGGUGAAAUGCGUAGAUAUCGUAAGGAAGACCAGUGGCGAAGGCGGGUCUCUGGACAGUUCCUGACGCUGAGGCACGAAGGCCAGGGGGAGCAAACGG